AUGCACUCUUUUUUUGCUUAAGUGGUAAAAACUUAUCUUUAGUGAACAAGGGGAUAGUUAUUCUCCAACUUUUAAUAUGACCUUGUAAAAUGUAACUUACAUUGAAAACCUGAUUGAACCACCCUAGAGACGAUACGCAUUCAUUAAAAAAUACUCAUUCUUUGUAGUGCCUUGCCAUGAGGAACCUUAGUGAUGGACAAUGGAGCCAUUCUGCUCGGUGAAACAAACCUCCACCUCAGCACAAAGACCAUUUAAAUUCUCAACGUGAUGCUACAGGCUGAUACAGAAGAUUAGAGAGAAGGGACACUUCAUCACAGAGUGCACCAAAGGAUGGUGCACAAAAGGAUGGACUAAAGUUCUCACAUUCAUUGAAAGUGCCAAGAUCUUGGUUAACCAGAGGAACGAGCUGGGAUGCAGUCUCUCCUCAGCCCCCACGCUCGUGUCCUCUCCAUGGGAAUGGCAUCAGAACAUGGAAAGAUGUGAGGAACCUAAAGAAUCUACAUGAGAGGAUGCCUCCUCAUUUUGGAAACCUUUCAAAAAAUAAUAAGACAAAGACCGUUCUUACUGGCUCAGCAUGGUCCAGGUAGGAGUGCACCUGGCACUAGAUGCAGACAGCAGCUGUUUCACCAGCAUCCGUAAUCUUUACUGGUGGCUUCCUGGCUGUACCUGUGUGCCCUGAAUGCAAAAAGCAUCUGUUUCACAUUUAUUCAUUUACUCAGAUGGCAUUAUCUACACUACUCGCUACCUUUGGACACAAGACUCUCAUUUAUAAUUCAUAGUACACAGAUGCUUACAGGGAGUAGAAGCUUUGGCUACAUUACCUGUCACUCUUAGUAUAUUUUGUAUUCAUGGUGGGUAAAUAUACAAGUAUAAAGCUGCCAUAUUGUGUAUGACUAUCUAUAAUGCAUUAGCAAACAGUUGUUUGAUCAUUUAUACUGUCAUUCUUUGUGGUUGAAAUGAUGUUAGAAUGAAAAAUGAAACAAACUGUGGGUUCACCCUCUGUUUCUCUUCUCUCACAAUCUUUUUGUGUGUUGUUGGUCCUUUAACUUUUUUUUUUUUUUUUUUUUUUAAAUGAAGGUGAUUUUGUCUCCCAUUGUUCUUCUCUUUGUAUGAUUAUCAUUCAGUACUCGGUCAGCUAUUCAGUAAGUUCACCAGUACAGCUGGCUUCAGGAGAAGAUGCUUCCUAUUCUUUGCUUUCAUAGGCUCAUAAAUCCAGCCUGCUGAGAAUAUUAAAAGGAGAAAAAUACUCAGGCAGGAAUAAAGCAUAUCAAAAAGAGAAAGUGAAUGUAACUGGGGAAACAUUUACUCAAGAUUACGUAUUAAGCAAUUUGCUCUUUAGUACUGAAGGAGUAUGGAGAGAGAAUAUAUAAACUGUACUUUCCAGAGCCCACUGCAUCCAUCAAACACUGUUAAAACUGGCCAUUUUUGAACAAGGAGAACAUUCUGUAUACCUUGUAUUGUUUUUGAAAGCUAUUUUUGGUGCAGUAAAUAUUAAAGUAUGUCAUUGUCCCUUGCAUGCGCUCUCACUCAUUUUUUAGGAGGGCAACUUUGCCAGAGAUGCUUGACUUAAGAACCCAUUAAAAUGAAAAUGUACUUGCAGGAAUAGUGCUUGAAGACAUGGGCA